GCAACAGAGGUUACGUGCCCUGUGUCCAUGGAGCAAAUGUCUAUACUGCCCACCGGCGUCUGUAUUAGAGGUCAUCACGGAUCCACCUGUACACGGUUUUCCAGCUGCUGUGUGUCUGUGAAGAACUCCCUGACCAGUGUCUUGAGUUGCCAUGGUGACACGACUGCUUCUGUUGAAUAGCUCUGAGACAUGAAG